rnacentral:misc_RNA from 1 species
AAAAAAAGAAGUCAAAAUGUCCAAAAAUCAAAGAAGAAGACACUAAGACACUUACCCGAACCGAUUAAGCUCCAAAAACAAGAAAAUGACGGUGCCACAGGUUUGAUCAACCAUGGGAGUAGGCAUCUUUGAGGAAGGAGAACAGGGGAACCCUUUUGUGUAAGCACAUACUGCAUUUGUAGACAAUAAAUACUUUCCUUUUCUAGAUCCAUCUGAAUAGG